GUGAACGCUGGCGGUAGGCCUAACACAUGCAAGUCGCACGGCAGCACAGUAAGAGCUUGCUCUUACGGGUGGCGAGUGGCGGACGGGUGAGGAAUACAUCGGAAUCUACUUUUUCGUGGGGGAUAACGUAGGGAAACUUACGCUAAUACUGCAUACGACCUACGGGUGAAAGCAGGGGAUCUUCGGACCUUGCGCGAUUGAAUGAGCCGAUGUCGGAUUAGCUAGUUGGCGGGGUAAAGGCCCACCAAGGCGACGAUCCGUAGCUGGUCUGAGAGGAUGAUCAGCCACACUGGAACUGAGACACGGUCCAGACUCCUACGGGAGGCAGCAGUGGGGAAUAUUGGACAAUGGGCGCAAGCCUGAUCCAGCCAUACCGCGUGGGUGAAGAAGGCCUUCGGGUUGUAAAGCCCUUUUGUUGGGAAAGAAAAGCAGCAGGUUAAUACCCCGCUGUUCUGACGGUACCCAAAGAAUAAGCACCGGCUAACUUCGUG
rnacentral:rRNA from 1 species